GGGGCCGUGGUGUAGUUAGACCCUUUUCCGAUAGCUUUCGCUUAUUCAAAAGCGUCUAUGGAAAAGGUCCUGUAGUGGUCUAGCAUUGCAGCAUGGGGCGCUGCCGACCGGGGUUCAAAUCCUCGCGGCCCCA
rnacentral:tRNA from 1 species